rnacentral:rRNA from 1 species
GCGGAGGGAUCAUUGCUGGAACGCGCUUCGGCGCACCCAGAAACCCUUUGUGAACUUAUACCUUACUGUUGCCUCGGCGCUGGCCGGCCUCCUCACCGAGGCCCCCUGGAGACAGGGAGCAGCCCGCCGGCGGCCAAACAAACUCUUGUUUCUUAGUGAAUCUCUGAGUAAAAAACAUAAUGAAUCAAAACUUUCAACAACGGAUCUCUUGGUUCUGGCAUCGAUGAAGAACGCAGCGAAAUGCGAUAAGUAAUGUGAAUUGCAGAAUUCAGUGAAUCAUCGAAUCUUUGAACGCACAUUGCGCCCUCUGGUAUUCCGGAGGGCAUGCCUGUUCGAGCGUCAUUUCAACCCUCAAGCCUGGCUUGGUGUUGGGGCACCGCCUUUGCAAAAGGGCGGGCCCUGAAAUCUAGUGGCGAGCUCGCCAGGACCCCGAGCGUAGUAGUUAUAUCUCGUUCUGGAAGGCCCUGGCGGUGGCCUGCCGUUAAACCCCCAACUUCUAAAUUUUGACUCGGAUCAGGUAGGAAUUCCCGGCUGAA